rnacentral:rRNA from 1 species
AUUGAACGCUGGCGGCAUGCCUUACACAUGCAAGUCGAACGGCAGCAUGAUCUAGCUUGCUCGAUUGAUGGCGAGUCGCGCACGGGAGAGUCAUACAUCGGAACGUGCCCUGUAGCGGGGGAUAACUAGUCGAACGAUCAGCUAAUACCGCAUACGACCUGAGGGUGAAAGUGGGGGACCGCAAGGCCUCAUGCCAUAGGAGCGGCCGAUGUCUGCUUAGCUAGUUGGUGAGGUAAAGGCUCACCAAGGCGACGAUCAGUAGCUGGUCUGAGAGGAUGAUCGGCCACACUGGGACUGAGACACGGCCCAGACUCCUACGGGAGGCAGCAGUGGGGAAUUUUGGACAAUGGGCGAAAGCCUGAUCCAGCAAUGCCGCGUGUGUGAAGAAGGCCUUCGGGUUGUAAAGCUCUUUUGUCCGGAAAGAAAUGACGCUUGUUAAUACCUGGGGUCGAUGACGGUACCGGAAGAGUAAGGACCGGCUAACUACGUG